rnacentral:rRNA from 1 species
UUUCGGAUCGUAAAGUACUGUUGUUAGAGAAGAACAAGGAUAAGAGUAACUGCUUGUCCCUUGACGGUAUCUAACCAGAAAGCCACGGCUAACUACGUGCCAGCAGCCGCGGUAAUACGUAGGUGGCGAGCGUUGUCCGGAUUUAUUGGGCGUAAAGCGCGCGCAGGCGGUCUUUUAAGUCUGAUGUGAAAGCCCCCGGCUUAACCGGGGAGGGUCAUUGGAAACUGGAAGACUGGAGUGCAGAAGAGGAGAGUG